GUCGACUUGGAGGUUGUUCCCUUGAGGAGUGGCUUCCGGAGCUAACGCGUUAAGUCGACCGCCUGGGGAGUACGGCCGCAAGGUUAAAACUCAAAUGAAUUGACGGGGGCCCGCACAAGCGGUGGAGCAUGUGGUUUAAUUCGAUGCAACGCGAAGAACCUUACCUACUCUUGACAUCCAGAGAAUUUGGCAGAGAUGCUUUGGUGCCUUCGGGAACUCUGAGACAGGUGCUGCAUGGCUGUCGUCAGCUCGUGUUGUGAAAUGUUGGGUUAAGUCCCGCAACGAGCGCAACCCUUAUCCUUUGUUGCCAGCGAUUCGGUCGGGAACUCAAAGGAGACUGCCGGUGAUAAACCGGAGGAAGGUGGGGAUGACGUCAAGUCAUCAUGGCCCUUACGAGUAGGGCUACACACGUGCUACAAUGGCGCAUACAAAGAGAAGCGACCUCGCGAGAGCAAGCGGACCUCAUAAAGUGCGUCGUAGUCCGGAUCGGAGUCUGCAACUCGACUCCGUGAAGUCGGAAUCGCUAGUAAUCGUGGAUCAGAAUGCCACGGUGAAUACGUUCCCGGGCCUUGUACACACCGCCCGUCACACCAUGGGAGUGGGUUGCAAAAGAAGUAGGUAGCUUAACCUUCGGGAGGGCGCUUACCACUUUGUGAUUCAUGACNGGGGUGAAGUCGUAACAAGGUA
rnacentral:rRNA from 1 species